rnacentral:lncRNA from 1 species
AGAUGCUGGCAGGGCUGGUCUGAGGCUGCCCAAGGGUGGGUGAGUGCACCGCCCUUCCACCCUAGGGUCCGUUAUUCCUAGACCAGCGCCCAGAUUGCGGGGUCGUGGGCGUUGGACACUGUGCAGCCAUGAGGAUCUGGUUGGGCGGAGAUUCCUGCCCUCCUGCGGCUGAGAGGCCAACCUCCUAACACACGCUGCAGUGACCUCUGGCUCUGCGGUCCGCGCUCCUGCUGGAGCUGGUAGAGACCAGAGCUGCCACCGCUGCUGCUUCCAGGAGUGUGCAGGUGGCAGCUGCCGCUGAGCCCGCGGCAGAGGAUAGCAGGGCUUGUUCCAGAAGGCUUGAGGGUCCCCGAGUGCACCGCCCUCCCACC